rnacentral:lncRNA from 10 species
CUUAGAAAGACAUGGGAGGGCAGGGGCAAGAACGGCAGCCUCUCCCUAGCUCACAUCUCACCAGGGUUGGCUAAGCAGUCCUCCCCUUGCCCCACGAGUGGCAGGACAGCUCCCAACACUUCUCUAGGCUUAAAGUACAUGUGGAAGGGCGAGCCUCCCAGGAUUCUCAAACAGAAGCAGCCUGCCAGGCUGAGCCAUCCAGAAGGUUGAAGAAAAAUGCCGUCGUGGUCCCCUGCCUGCUUACUCAGCGUGUCAAGCAGGAGUUCUCAGCUCCAGUGUGCCAUGGAGGGCCUUGGGAAGAGGUCACAUACCAUUCCCAUCCCCAGGUGUGACACAAAGCAGGUGCAUAAUAAAGAUUCCUGGAUGGAUGACUCAAUUUCUGACU